rnacentral:lncRNA from 1 species
GCCCUGGCUUAACAAUGUGUAACUUCUCGGUGAUUGUGGAACUCGGAGAAAUUACACCCGUCAUUUGAUAUCAAUUACUAUUCCAGCCUUCUCAGUUGAACUAAACUCCUCAGAACAGAAGAUCUCCAGGUCUGUGGUAGUUUCUGCUACUUUAGGCUACUUUUUUGGGUGGGGCAGGGGGGCAAGAUGAGGACAUUCACAGCAGCCACUGUUCUUCUUUGUUCCAGUGAUAGCGACACUGCAGCCAUCUCCAGGGAACCAGUGGCCUGUUUGCUGUGUGUGCUUCCACACUGGCCUCCCACGUGCCAGCUGGUGUUACCUGCGUCGCUCACUCCUGCUGCUGGAGUGGCUGCGUCAGCAGGGGGAGCUGAGAGCAGUAAGUGGCUGGAACAGCCCAGGGAAGGAGGAGAUCCCUGGGAGUUUAUGCCAUCAGUUAGUCUGUAUUGAUCCAGGGCGUAUUUUGUGCAGAUGGGGACCCUGGGAAGUUAGCAGCAAUGGAGAAAAGCGUGGAAUGCUCUCCAGGUAUUAACACCACUGCCACCGCCACCCUGGCCAUGGAACACUGCACAGGGAGAAGGCAACAGAGCAAAACAAGCAUAUUGCAUUUCUCCAGCUGCUCCGGAAGUCCUUGGGACAGGAACCAUGUAAUCCCAUAGUGGCAGCAGUAACAACAAUGGCAACAGCAGCCUGGAGAGCACCGAAAUACUUAAAGCUCUGAGGGAAGCGAGUCUUCCCUCCACUAGAGAAGCUGUGGUCCCAAGAGGGUGGGACAAAAUACCAUUCCCUUUUCUCUCUCUCUGUUCAUACACUGCCUGGUGGGACAGACUCAAGUAUAGCCAUGAGAUGUAUGCAGCAAGGUAGGAAAACUAAAGACCUAGCUUUCUAACCAGAGGACAAAAAAAAUGGGGCUUCAGUGGGCCAAAAAUGCCAGAAUAAUCUCAGAAAGGAGACUGCUCAAGAGAGCAGUUCCAUAUUAACUCCGAGGCUUACUUCUAAGCUGCACAUGGUGUGAGAACUGAACUGUGCAUGAGACUAUGAUCCAGGCCACCAAAUGGCCACUGGGCAACAUACACACAACAGAUUCCCAUAGCACUGCAAAGGCUUUGAAAACUGAACUGAUAUUAGAACCACAGUCCACAGGAGAACUCGAGUCUGGAGCCUAAUUAGACUGAUUGCUUGCAAAAACAAAACAAAACAAAAUUCAAAAUUCGCUUUAGGAUUUAAACAAGACAUGGAUCCUCAUAAUGUAAUAUUCAAAAUGUUCAGGACACAAUCCAAAACUACUUGACAUAUGACUUAUAGGGAAAAGAACAAUGAUGCCACCUGCAAGAUGACAAGGGAAAAUUCUCUUGAAACAAAAAAGUCUCAAUAAAGA